UGGCCUCUCUGGAAGGACAUUCACAGCAAGCCGGAGGACGCCCCCAACACCGCAGCCAAGGGCACCCAGCCCGCGCCCCCUGAGGGAUCCACCGAGGCCGGCCCGCCGGCCUCCAGCGCGAAGGCCGCGGAGGCGCUGCUCCCGUCGCUCAUCAUCUGGCCACCAUCGCAGCACAUGCGCGACGCCGUCAUGCGCUGCAUCGUGCAAACGGUCGCCGCGCCCAGCAUCCUCUCCCAGCGGUACGACACUGUCCCGGAGCCUGAGGCCGAGUGUGCCGCCGCCGCCAUCCAGGCCGAGGCCUUCGCCAUCGCCUCCAAGUCCGCCGCCGGCGCGUCCCUGGCCUCCGUCAAGGAGGGGAUAGAGGUCCUCCAGGCAUUGUAUUCCAAGGAGGUCAGCCGCCGCCUCCCGAGCUCGCCAAGUCCCGGUCCGUCGCCGCCGUGUCGCCGACCGCCGAGGCCAGCGUGCUGGAGAUGGAGGAAUCGUCGGUGACCGUCUCCGCCGCCCAACCGUCGUCUAAAGGUGAUGGGUCCAUAUCACCGCUACAUGUAUACUGCUCUCUGUUAAUUGCAUCUAAGCUUCUUUUUUUGCUCUUCGAUAAGCUGGACAAUCACUAGCCAUUUAAUUUUGUAGUUACCUGCUGAUAAAUCUAGAGCUACUAAAACAAAUCUCUAGAUAUCCGUUUUUGGUCCUCGGUUGGUAAUAUCUGGGGCUCCAGGUUAAUGCUCACGUCGUGCCCAUAGCUGACGCCAUUAAUCUGGAGCUACACAUUGUGUUUUGUCUACUGUAAGGAAAUGGAUUGCCCGGGAGAAGUUUGACACAAGCAGCAGAUCAAUUCCACAUUGUUCGCUAAGGUUAAUGUGUUGUGUUUGUUCAUAUUUGUCUGAAAUUUGCUUACAACUCUUCUGUGAUAUAUAGGUUGCUCCAUGUUGUCAGCUUUAAUUGUACCUGAAUCUAAUACAUGGUGCCAUGGCCCUACCACUCCAACGAUAACUUGAUUUGUCUUCCUCUAUGCCGAUUUUUAGUUUCGGCUCAGGUGUUCCUACAAUAUUUACCGUUUACGAAAUUCCCAUCCUAAUGGAUUGCUUAGCAUUUUGUACUCCAAUGUGCCCACACAUGUAUCUUAUUAUUGUUCGUAUUAGGUGUACUAAAAAAAUGUCUCGAAACAAAAUCUGGGCUUAUAUUGCAAAAUCCUUUUCUGGAGCCCAAUAUUCUAAGUUCGUAACUUCAAAAAUUAAGAGUGUAAUGCAGCACUUACAUUUUUCUUUUGUGAAUGUAGCAGCAAAUUGACGGCUAUAUUUCUGACUCUUUUUUCAUGCUUGCACUAUUCUCUGGCGUUCUGUAAUUAGCAAUAGAAAGGGACCUUCAACAUAUAUAGAAGCAAUGAAAAAUAAUGGACAACAACAACCCGUAAUUAACAAAAAAAAAUGAAUGCACAACCUAUACAGGCGCGGCGUUAGCGCGCCAAUCAUCCUAGUUUCUUUGGACAUGCCACGUGUCUUUGUUUCAUUGGCCAAAAGAAUCGACUGAGACGAUAUGAAAAAAUAUACUUGAUUGUCAGUGAGGCACUCCCAUAAUAAAGCAAUUCAAUUAUCAAAAAAUAAAUAAAGUAAGAGCAAUUCGUGAAGCAAUCCAUGGCCACAUUGCCUAGAGACUAGUACGGUUGAACUUGAACCACCGUCCACCACGCUGUCCGUGCGCAAGUCCGGCCAGGUCAGCAGGGGCGUGCCGGCGUGGCAGCGUCCACCGCUCGCCACGUGGCUUCAAGAGAUGGAGAAAACGUACUUUUUUUCUAAUCUUUUUAUUAAACCAAAAGCGCGUCCAAUGGCGAGGCGGCAUUUCCUGGAAGAACCCCAUCGAGCUCUUUUGGUCAGCAGCCGGAGGACGACGACGACGCGUCUAAGCAAAGCCAUGGUCGAUCGCUGCCUGCUCUCUCUCUAUAUAUAUACAGGAACAACGAUCAUCCAUCCAUCCACCUCGCCCACCCGUCUGCCGUCUGACUGCCCGUUCUUGCGUGCUUGAUACUCGCAUCGAGCUUGGCUGGCAGUGGCAGCUGAUCCUUCGGCCGGCCGGUCAUGAGCUACCAAGCAGGCUACCCGCCGCCGGGCACCGCCGCGUACCCUCCGCCGGGGCAGCAGGCGGCCUACGGCGCGCCCCCGCCGCAGGCCUACGUCGCGCCGCCGCCGGCGUACCCGCCGUCCCAGCAGGACGCCGGCGCGUACGGCCAGCACCAGACCACCAGCCGCGGCGGCGACGGCUUCUGGAAAGGAUGCUGCGCCGCCAUCUGCUGCUGCUGCGUCCUCGACAUGUGCUUCUGAGGACGACGACGGAGCUGAUGGUCGACCAGGACUCGCUGAUCGGUGGAGCUGCUCUGCUCUAGCUGAUGUGUUAAUUACAUUUACAUCCAUGCAUCUUGAUACAGUCAUUAAUUAGUCUUCGUUAUUGUGGCUUGUAGUAGCUAGUAUCAAUUUGUAGAGCCAUUCUUGUAUUUUUAUAUGAUGGCAAUAUAUUAUACAUAAAUGUUCCCCUGUUAUUCCAUGAUAUAUUCGACAUGACUUUACUUA